rnacentral:rRNA from 1 species
UACGUAGGUGGCAAGCGUUGUCCGGAUUUAUUGGGCGUAAAGAGCGUGUAGGCGGCCAGGUAGGUCUGCUGUGAAAACUCGAGGCUCAACCUCGAGACGUCGGCGGAAACCAUCUGGCUAGAGUCCGGAAGAGGAGAGUGGAAUUCCUGGUGUAGCGGUGAAAUGCGCAGAUAUCAGGAAGAACACCCGUGGCGAAGGCGGCUCUCUGGGACGGUACGGACGCUGAGACGCGAAAGCGUGGGGAGCGAACAGG